rnacentral:lncRNA from 1 species
GUCAGAUGUCAACUGACUGAGCCACCCAGGUGCCCCAAUACUGAACUAAUUUAAGUCAGGAAAUUAGAUGAUCAUAUUAGGAGUUUUGAAAAAUAACUGACCCCAGGAUGAUGUGGAUUGGAAGGAAUGAAAUUAGAAUGGCUGUGCAGGAUUCUGCAUGGGAAAUGGUGGUACCUGAACUAAGGGUCUGGCUAUGAGGAGAUGGCCUGAUUCAAAGGCACCUUUUAGGAGAUAAAUUUGACAGGACUUAGUGACCAACUGGUGCCUAAAGGUGAGAGAGAGGGAGAAAUCAAGGGUGACUCCCUGGUCUCCAGCUUAGGUGAUGAAAUGAAUGGUGUUGCCUAUUACAGGGACAGAAGAAGCAGGUGAAGAACAAGUCUGAAAUGUAAAUAUGAUGGGCUCAGUUCUGCACAUGUACAUUUAGGAGGACUUUGGGGGCUCUUGUUGGAAAAGUCCAGUAAGAAAUAGGGGACUGCAAUCGUGGAAAGAAAUUUAGGCUGGAGAGUAAAUGUGGAUCAGAUGAAACUGUCCAGAGGGAGGAGGGAAGAGAACAGGAAAGAGAAAGAAGAGCCUUUGAUGAGACAGAAAAGGAAUGGCCAGGGGAAGGGAAAACAAGAAACAAAGGUGUCACUGGGGAGGUGUUGUUCAGAAGUGUCAAGGGCAACAAGAGGACAAACCAGCAUUGUGGAAAAGAUGGUGAUAACAUCCAAGAGAGAAAGGCCUGGAUAAUGGGGUAUCCAGGUUGGAAGACUGGAGGUGGUGGGGGACCUGAAUGGCCGUGUCAACAGGGCCACCCUGAUGCCAAUCUGUGUGGACCGGGAGGUCUUCUCCAUGUACCUGCAGAUGCCCUGACACCCUGGAGAUUUAGGACAGCGGCACAAACAUAG